GCUUAGAUUGGAAAUAUUUUUACUAUUCGAUCAUGCACCGUCCUCAUGUAAUCAAUAUCAUAUUCUUUAGAAUGUUACUCUCAAAUAAAUUAAGCUAUAGCUUUGAAAAAUUGAUGUCAAAUAGAAACGAGAGGUGCAAAAGCUUAAAUCCGCCAUAAAAUAAAUAAAGAAAAAAUAACAACAACAAAAACAAGUGUACUUGCAUUAGUAUGCACUUGGACAACGUGGUCAAAUUCAAGGAAUCGACUCUUUUGUGUUCGAAACUUCAUCACUAUUGCGCAUGUUUCCUCAAAGCAUCACACUCAGCACGUAGAAGACACCAGUCCACGCGGGAAUACUGAGGCCUCUUUUAUCUCCUCUUCCACACCAGUUGAGCUGUUUGGCCACUGGACCAAACACUUUGGAGGCUACACGCCAAAUGGUUUUUUUCAGAGUUUGUCCUCCUCUGAUGGAUAACCUCUUCAUCUUAAAAAUAAAAGGAAAGGUGUCAUCCUCAGUGUCCACCACCAUUUGACCACUUGACCGAGGGGCAAGGGACUAGACCACUGAAGUUAGAUGGGUAAUCUUCAAGUCCAGCUCAUUAAGCUUCUCCAAAAUUGCCCUCUCCACAGCUGCAACACACUCGAUGGGUGGUCCCCCCAAGCAUCUUCUUGCUCAUUUACAUGGGACAUGCUUAUUGGAAAAACUGGUGCUGAGAAAGGUCAAGUUACUAAAUUAAAUGUUACCGUAAUUACCCGAAGUGAGACAUACAACUUACGUGGUGCUCUGUCUUGUAAAGGCCGCAGCACAGAAAAUGCAUCCUCUGUUGGAUUGUACAGAAAAUGUUGAGUUACCUAGUGUUGGGGUUUAUCCCAAGUGUCUUGGUGCUCCACUUCCUGGCAGAACCUCACAGCAGGCAUUUCAGAUUCCGAGAUGUCAGAUGUGUAGCAUGCCUGUUUCCAUUUCUUUGAAAUCUUGUCAAAAGAUGCUGAAAGAAAUAAAAAUUCUGGCCUGAUGCUUGGUCCAACCUUUAUCUGGUUGUGGUGCCUCCAUCAACCGGACACUCCUCAAUACCCUGUCUAUCUUCUUGUAUGGAGGCCACCACGAGUGACCCUCUGAGUACCAAGACUUGGCGACAGGUCCGGUACUCCCUUCGUGAAUGAACUCCACUAUCAGAGAUGGAUUGGUCCUGACAUGACAUCAGUAGGUAGAUGCCAAGUGUGGAGGAUGGAAGCGUGGGGAUAGUCAAAAAGGAGUUAGUGUUUGCUGAACGUGGUGUAGACCAUGUAAAUGCCAUGCUUUUCUGAAAUUAUGUUUUGCAGCUUUGCAACCUUUCUGCCAAUAUAGACAAAUGGUUUGCCUGGUCCAGUUUCAGAGUAUAUGGGCAUACUCACUCUAGGUACAUUUCUGAGGAAUGCCAUCCUGUUUUCCAGGUGCACACCAUCCUGAAUACAUGUUUCACACCCAUGGUAACCUGGUUGGCCAUUUUAGAAAAGCAUGUUGCAAAAGCAAACUUGAAUGUUAACUUUAGUCAUUCAAAUUCAAAGCCAUUUUUUUUAACUCUUUGAUUUCAGAGAUUAGGUCUUCGAGAUACUUAUUCAGGGAGCUAGUUUUACAGUACCUUCAGCCCACAAUAAAUCUAUUGGCACAUGUUCCCCCUGCACCAAGUUUUAAACUUCUACUAGACUGAGCCAGCAUUGAGCAAAUGAACUCUUGUAGAGAGGAAGACCAUCAAUGCUCACCUGGAACUUAAAAUUUUUAUCUUCCUUAAAAUGUACAUGUUGUCAUAGAGGACCCUUGAAAUGGAUGCCAUUGAACCAAAAGUAUAUCACUGACCCUGUGCGUUCAAAGAGAACUCAUUUGCAAAAAGAAGGCUAUUCUCUUUGAACGCACUUUACCUAAUAUUGUCCUUGUAUCUUUUGGCAGACUCGGAUUGUAAUUGUGAAUGAUUAUGAGUAAUUCAUUUAGUGAUGCAUGUGUUAAUUUUUUUUUUUUUCUGUUUCCCAUCUUGUCAAAGUCAUCAUUGAGGGGACUUGAACUAGUCAGAUUGACUCGUUUAUGAAGCACUUGCCAGGAUGAUACUGCAUUCAGUCUCAUUAACAUGGGACAAACAGUCCAAGAAGUCAGUGCCGUCUUCAACAGUGCUGCUUGUCAAUGCCACCAUACUGUUCCCUCAAUAGUGAUGCUUAUAACACAUGCAUUGAAUAAAGCUGUUUGUCCACCUUG